UUGUGAAAACAUUGUCAUGUUGAUGAAUGUUCUGUAUGAGCAACCAUGGUGCACAGCUUUCCCUUUGUAUAUGCUUACAAUGGUUUUCUUUGUAUUGUGUGAACGGAGAUCGUCAGUGACAGUGAAUGUAUUGUCACAAUGAUGAACGAUGUUUGUAAUUGGCGGGUCACAUAUGUAUCAGCACAACACAGUCUAAUCAGUAAGGCUCUUUUCCACAAAUGGGGCUUGAUGUAUAAUAUCUGAAUAAAUCGCACCUCACCCCUA